AGAGCGAACGCUGGCGGCAUGCUUAACACAUGCAAGUCGCACGGUCAGCAAUGGCAGUGGCGGACGGGUGAGUAACGCGUAGGUAUCUAUCCACGGGUGGGGGACAACGUCGGGAAACUGACGCUAAUACCGCAUGAUACCCGAGGGUCAAAGGCGCAAGUCGCCUGUGGAGGAGCCUGCGUACGAUUAGCUUGUUGGUGGGGUAAAGGCCUACCAAGGCGACGAUCGUUAGCUGGUCUGAGAGGAUGAUCAGCCACAUUGGGACUGAGACACGGCCCAAACUCCUACGGGAGGCAGCAGUGGGGAAUAUUGGACAAUGGGCGCAAGCCUGAUCCAGCAAUGCCGCGUGUGUGAAGAAGGUCUUCGGAUUGUAAAGCACUUUCGGCGGGACGAUGAUGACGGUACCCGCAGAAGAAGCCCCGGCUAACUUCGUGCCAGCAGCCGC
rnacentral:rRNA from 1 species